rnacentral:lncRNA from 1 species
GCGCGAUCGGCCAAUGAGAGCGCGCGAUGCCUAUUCUCCAUGCAAAUCUCCUGGUUUUUUAUUUGAAUGAGGGAUUUUGGCCACGCCUCCUGCCUUGAAAAAUGAGGCCCGUCUGCCGUGGUGGCGCUGCGGUCUUUUCAAUCGCGUCCGGAGGUGAAUUUUUUUCCGGUUGCCUCUUUUUUAAUCCUCGAGGUGUUUUUUUGUUUUGUUUUGUUUUUGCAUGGAGAUUCCUCAGUAGCCACCCCUCCAUGAAACUUGAGAAAAGAAGUAGACAGAUCAGAGAACAAAUGUAAAAUCUCAUCAUCACGACUCAGGACCCACUUCCUGAACCACUGAAAGGUAACCACUGAGGAUGUGGUAAGAGGAUUGGGCACCCUCAUGAGUCCUGCCCCCUAUAUCUGCCUUUAGAAGCAAUGAAACAGUAGCCCACUCCAGGUAGCUAGACCGAAAGGGAAGGAGUCACCAGCUAAGUAAGCAGAAGCAUCAGGCCCAGUCACUGCUUAAGAAGGAAGAAUGGCAAAGGGGAUGUGCUGCUUCUGUUGUCCCCACCCCUCGUGAGCGGUCAUGCUUCUGUUGGUUGGUUGCUUGUGGUUAUGGUUGCUCAAGCAGAGUUGGCAGCUAAGAAAGCUAAAGGUGAAAUGAAGGAGGCAGCAUGACCCAGACAAUGCCGGCCUCCCUGAUCCCACAUCUGAGUCAGGGAACUCCUAGGGUUUUGCUUCUGCCUCCCUGGUUGCAUCAGAUUCUCUUCUGGACACUCUAGCACUGAUAAAAUAGGAUGCCAAAAUAUGAAUCCAUAACUCUAGAUUAAGCAUGUUGAGCAAGUUCUAAUCAUAAGUACUUACACCUGACUUGAUUCAACUGCCCAGACGUCCGGCCUUAACUCACAGAAGAGGCCAAUCUAAUCAUAGUCAUACUGCCUCGUUCUUUAAAUUAGAUAAUCA